GUAAAUUUGUAAUUUUGUCUUUCAGUUUGUUUGAUAAGUCUUUAAUGAUGUUUGGUUUAUUUGUCUACCCAUCACCAUGGAGUUCUUUAAACAAAUUUUCUAAAAUAUGAGCAGCGUUGACUAGUGUUGGUGAUGGAAUUGUAUGGAUAUUUAUGGAUGAAGCGAUGUGCUACAUAUCCAGCUACAUAUUCAACGCACUCCUUUUCUAUGUCUCCAAAUGAUUCUUCAUUUUCAAUCUAAAAUAAUGGUACUGGAAGGAAAAAACAUCUAAUUUAAUUUACUAAAUAAGAAACAAAUUUACUUAAUAUUGGUGAAAAAUGAGAUCCACUAAAUCCAGUGUAUACUGCGGUUGAAUGUUUUCCCAAAAUGUACCACCUGAGACUAAAAAAUAAGAUUUGAACAAUAAUUUAUGUUUUAAUGUAAUGUAUAUAGAAAUAAUAUAAAAAAAAUUGUUAUGUACGCAUAUUUAAA